CUCAGAUGUCAAAAACAGCUCCCUCGUGGCUCCUAACUUAGCUCAUUGUGGGCUAGUCUAAUAGUACGUUGAUGCUCCAAACCUACGGAACUAAAAGCUCUCCUUAUGAUUGUGUUUGAGAGAUGAACAGGGCAGAAAGCACCAUACAGACCCAGAGCUCAGUCGGUAAAGAAUCUGCUUGCAACGCAGGAGACCCGGGUUCAGUUCCUGGGUUGGGAAGAUCCCCUGGAGAAGGAAAUGCCAACCCAAUCCAGUAUUCUUGCCUGGAGAAUCCCAUGGACAGAGGAGCCUGGCAGGGGUGCCCUAAUCUGGGCCUGUUGCUUUCCAGACCUGCAUACCUUCAUCAGCCUUGGGCUUCUCUUCACUGACCUCCUGGAUGAAAGGAUCCGGUAAACUGUGAAGAAGGCUGAGCGCUGGAGAAUUGAUGCUUUUGAACCUUGGUGUUGGAGAAGACUCUUGAGAGUCUCUUGGACUGCAAGGAGAUCCAACCAGUCCAUCCUAAAGGAGAUCAGCCCUGGGAUUUCUUUGGAGGGAAUGAUGUUGAAGCUAAAACUCCAGUACUUUGGCCACCUCAUGCGAAGAGUUGACUCAUUGGAAAAGACUCUGAUGCUGGGAGGGAUUAGGGGCAGGAGGAGAAGGGGAUGACAGAGGAUGAGACGGCUGGAUGGCAUCACUGACUCGAUGGACGUGAAUCUGAGUGAACUCCGGGGGUUGGUGACGGACAGGGAGGCCUGACGUGCUUCGAUUCAUGGGGUCGUAGAGUCGGACACGACUGAGUGACUGAACUGAACUGAACUGAACUGAGACUGACCCUCACUGUUACUGUUGCCUUCUUCUUUGGGUUGUGGCAGAAUUGGAGAGCCCAGAAUAUAAGGAAAAGCCAGUGUAUCCAUUACACAAAUGUUGACAUUUUCCUUCUUUUAAAAAUCAGUUUAAACAUUUGUUUUAGGUGGACCACUUUUUUUAAGUCUUUACUAAGUUUCUUACAAUUUUGCUUCUGUUUCCUGUUUUGUGGUUUUGGCCCUGAGGCGUGUGGGAUCUUAGCUCUCCCACCAGGAUCGAACUUACACACUUG
ensembl:lncRNA